GACGAACGCUGGCGGCGUGCCUAAUACAUGCAAGUAGAACGCACAGUUUAUACCGUAGCUUGCUACACCAUAGACUGUGAGUUGCGAACGGGUGAGUAACGCGUAGGUAACCUGCCUGGUAGCGGGGGAUAACUAUUGGAAACGAUAGCUAAUACCGCAUAAUAUUAAUUAUUGCAUGAUAAUUGAUUGAAAGAUGCAACUGCAUCACUACCAGAUGGACCUGCGUUGUAUUAGCUAGUAGGUGAGGUAACGGCUCACCUAGGCGACGAUACAUAGCCGACCUGAGAGGGUGAUCGGCCACACUGGGACUGAGACACGGCCCAGACUCCUACGGGAGGCAGCAGUAGGGAAUCUUCGGCAAUGGACGAAAGUCUGACCGAGCAACGCCGCGUGAGUGAAGAAGGUUUUCGGAUCGUAAAGCUCUGUUGUAAGAGAAGAACGGGUGUGAGAGUGGAAAGUUCACACUGUGACGGUAUCUUACCAGAAAGGGACGGCUAACUACGUGCCAGCAGCCGCGGUAAUACGUAGGUCCCGAGCGUUGUCCGGAUUUAUUGGGCGUAAAGCGAGCGCAGGCGGUUAGAUAAGUCUGAAGUUAAAGGCUGUGGCUUAACCAUAGUACGCUUUGGAAACUGUUUAACUUGAGUGCAGAAGGGGAGAGUGGAAUUCCAUGUGUAGCGGUGAAAUGCGUAGAUAUAUGGAGGAACACCGGUGGCGAAAGCGGCUCUCUGGUCUGUAACUGACGCUGAGGCUCGAAAGCGUGGGGAGCGGACAGG
rnacentral:rRNA from 1 species